rnacentral:rRNA from 1 species
UGGUGGAGUGAUUUGUCUGGUUAAUUCCGUUAACGAACGAGACCUCGACCUGCUAACUAGUUGGUCGAAUCCUUGUGAUUCGCAUACAACUUCUUAGAGGGACUAUCGGUGCGUAGCCGAUGGAAGUUCGAGGCAAUAACA